CAGAUAUUGAACCCUGAACCACGCAGGACGUGGAAGGAAACAUUUACUACAUCUGGCACCCGAACAGGGACUCUGGAAGUGAAGGUUUUGCUAGAGCGAAAAAACGAAGUUUCACUGGCAAAAGUGAGGAACGAAGAAUUCACCAUAAAGAAAACAACUUCAAGACCAUGUGGAUUCCUGCAACAGAGAGGAAUUCUCAGGAAUGCUCCAGCCAUGAAGACAAGA